rnacentral:rRNA from 1 species
GACGAAUGCUGGCGGCGUGCUUAACACAUGCAAGUCGAACGGUGAAGGGGAGCUUGCUCCCUGGAUCAGUGGCGAACGGGUGAGUAACACGUGGGUAACCUGCCCCUCACUUCGGGAUAACCAUCCGAAAGGAUGGCUAAUACCGGAUACGAAGCCUGGAGGCAUCUCCGGGUUUGGAAAGUUUUUCGGUGAGGGAUGGACCCGCGGCCUAUCAGCUUGUUGGUGAGGUAAUGGCUCACCAAGGCGAAGACGGGUAGCCGGCCUGAGAGGGCGACCGGCCACACUGGGACUGAGACACGGCCCAGACUCCUACGGGAGGCAGCAGUGGGGAAUAUUGCACAAUGGGCGAAAGCCUGAUGCAGCGACGCCGCGUGAGGGAUGAAGGCCUUCGGGUUGUAAACCUCUUUCAGUAGGGACGAAGCGCAAGUGACGGUACCUAAAGAAGAAGCACCGGCUAACUACGUGCCAGCCGCCGCCGUAA